rnacentral:snRNA from 1 species
GGAUGUAAAGGAGAUCUGGCUGCGACAUCUGUCACCCUCUUGGUCACUGGGAUUGAUCCAUCUGGUUUGGCUGGCUAGGCAGGUGUCCCCUUCCUCCUUCACUGCUCCAUGUGCCUUCCUCCCAAAGCUGCAUGCCUGGACAGGAAGGAUGGCCACUCGGGAUAGAGGAGGACCAUUUCCUAGGUUAAGGUCGUAAGUAGCUGUGCUCCCCUGCUAGAGCCUCCAAACAGGUGUCCAAAAUGAAAAAAUAAAACAGAAGGUUGGAGCUGGAGCUCAGGAAAGGCCUU